GUGUUGCUAUCUACCCCUCACAGACAAUUCAAAGGACUAUGUCAGAAAACAGGAACUAAUAGAAACACAGUUGAAUACACAAUUAGAAUGACAGCAAACAUAAGCAUCCACUAUUUUACCUUGUGUGAAGAUUACUCUGCCUUGCAAAAUCUGACAAAUGACCGACUCUUGUGGCGAAGUGCAGCAAAAUGAGAUGGGAGUUUGGUUUUGCCUGACUGUGUUUCA